rnacentral:rRNA from 1 species
AGAACGAACGCUGGCGGCAGGCCUAACACAUGCAAGUCGAACGCUCGUAGCAAUACGAGAGUGGCAGACGGGUGAGUAACACGUGGGAACCUUCCCUAUGGUUCGGAAUAGCUCAGGGAAACUUGGGGUAAUACCGGAUAAGCCCUUCGGGGGAAAGAUUUAUCGCCAUUGGAUGGGCCCGCGUCGGAUUAGCUAGUUGGUGAGGUAACGGCUCACCAAGGCAACGAUCCGUAGCUGGUCUGAGAGGAUGAUCAGCCACACUGGGACUGAGACACGGCCCAGACUCCUACGGGAGGCAGCAGUGGGGAAUAUGGACAAUGGGCGAAAGCCUGAUCCAGCCAUGCCGCGUGGGUGAAGAAGGCCUUAGGGUUGUAAACCCCUUUCGAGCGGGACGAUAAUGACGGUACCGCAGAAGAAGUCCCGGCUAACUCCGUGCCAGCAGCCGC